rnacentral:rRNA from 1 species
CCUACGGGGGGCUGCAGUGGGGAAUUUUGGACAAUGGGGGCAACCCUGAUCCAGCCAUGCCGCGUGCGGGAAGAAGGCCUUCGGGUUGUAAACCGCUUUUGUCAGGAGAGAAAUCUCUUGGGCUAAUACCCUGAGAGGAUGACGGUACCUGAAGAAUAAGCACCGGCUAACUACGUGCCAGCAGCCGCGGUAAUACGUAGGGUGCAAGCGGUAAGUGGAAUUUGCGGGCGUGGUGCGGCCGCAGGCGGGUGAAAUCCCCGGGCUUAACCUGGGAACUGCACUUGUGACUGAACGGCUAGAGUACGGCAGAGGGGGAUGGAAUUCCGCGUGUAGCAGUGAAAUGCGUAGAUAUGCGGAGGAACACCGAUGGCGAAGGCAGUCCCCUGGGCCUGUACUGACGCUCAUGCACGAAAGCGUGGGGAGCAAACAGGAUUAGAUACCCUAGUAGUC